rnacentral:rRNA from 1 species
UACAGAGGGGGCGAGCGUUGUUCGGAAUUACUGGGCGUAAAGCGUGCGUAGACGGCUAUCUAAGUCGGGUGUGAAAGCCCCGGGCUCAACCUGGGAAUUGCAUUCGAGACUGAAUAGCUAGGGUACGGUAGAGGGAAGCGGAAUUUCCGGUGUAGCGGUGAAAUGCGUAGAUAUCGGAAGGAACAUCAGUGGCGAAAGCGGCUUCCUGGACCAGUACCGACGUUCAGGCACGAAAGCGUGGGGAGCAAACAGG